GUUCGCGCCUUGAGAUCGAUUCGUGCCUCUGACCUAGAUCGUUUGUGUGCGCUGCGCUUGUUGGUAACUUUGCUCCUGCGGUAAUUUAUGUGACUCAUCUGCAGAGCCUCGGAGCUGCGGAGAGGGGGCCGGCGGAGCUUCCCUGGCCGGCAAACCGGCCUCCAAAAGGAGGACAGGAAUAAAAGAGAUGGAUGGGAAGUCAAUUCCUGGGUCUCCUGUUCUAGGUGAUGUACAGUCUUUCGUUUCUCUGCUCUUGGUCGGCAACCUUUGGUUUCCAAAUGCUCAUUUUCUUUGUAAUUUUCCUUCUAGAGCGUGUAAGGAGGGUGAAAAUAUUGCUUCAACUGCUGAAAAUCAAGCAGCCGAUUUUCAAUCAAGAUUCACAGGCUGUAGACAGGCACUCCUUGCCGGCAAGAGAUAGAAACAUCUGCGGACACACAUGUACCCAAACGUGCAGGUGGCAACACAGAACACGCAUCCACACAGGUGCUCAGUGGAGACUGCUGCAGGAGAGAUGGAAGACCAUUCUGUUAAGAUAAACAUUGGAAAGCACCUGGCAAAAUGCCUGCUGCAUGACGGCGCUCAAGACACGGAUGGCCAUCCUCAUCACCAUCAUCCUCCAGGUCCCCAUCACCAUAUUCUAUGUCAGCCACUACUUCAAACACUGGCAAAUUCACUUCUCGAAAAGAUUCCGCACGGCGGCACCCGGGUGGCUCAGCAGGUGAAGCGUCUGCCUUCGCCUCGAGUCAUGAUCUCAGGGUCCUGGGAUCGAGCGCCGCAUCCAGAGUCUGCUUCUCCCUCUCCCUCUUUUCUCUCUCU
rnacentral:lncRNA from 1 species